GGCUGCUAGGAGCACGGUGGCUUCCUUUUUCCUCAUGCCUGCUGGAGGCUCGGCGGCACGGGAGCUGGAGGGGCCGGGGAAGGCUCGUGGCUGAUCGUCCAGGAUGUUCCACGUGGUUUUCUUCUCCAGAGAGGUUUUGCUCACACUCGCCACCUUCUUUCUUCCACCAGAACUGCUCUCAAAGAAGGUCAGGAAGUCUCCCGUCUGCUCGGAGCUGCGUGUGCCGUUUGCCCGCUGGUUCACCUGGGUGGUGCUGUUGGACCUCCGGAGGUUGUUGAUGGCCCGGGAUCCUGCGUCCUCCAACGCGUUCCUUUUGCUUUUCCCGUCGCCGACGACCGACACGGAGCGCACCACGUGCUUGGCGGGCGAGGCGCUGCUGGGCCGUCGCGCCACGGGCACGGGCAGCCCGGUAAGGCUCAGCUCCACGGCACCGCCCGGGCACGAGCAGCUGCUCCGGGCGCUCCUCAUCGUGCGGCGGGGCGAGGAACGGCCCCGCGCGGCGGCCCCG
rnacentral:lncRNA from 1 species